rnacentral:lncRNA from 1 species
GUCAUUUUUCAUAAUAUAUAUAAGGUUAUUUUAUAGGGUUUCUAUUUUUUUAUUAUAAUUUUGUUAAUCUUAAAAUUUUAGUAGUUAUAUAUUUUAAUUGAUUAAAAUACUAGCUCUCUACGGCGAAGCUCAUAUCUUUAGCUGAAAAUGUGAAUCAAUUAGGAUUCGAACUAGGAUCUCGGCUCACCUUUCUUGUUGAUAGUAUUUGUUGGUGGUAGAAAACAAUUGAAUAAAAAAAAGAAGAAGAAACCUUCAGUUUCAAAACAAAAGGGGUAAAUUACUAAAACCUACCCCACUUUAGCAUGCAUCUUAAUUAUCUUCUAGGGUAAACUUCAAUGCCAUUUAUGUAGUUUCACACUUUUUUACUUUAGUAUCAUGUGGUUUAAAGUGUAUCAAUUUAAUAUCCUAUGAUUUUAUUUUUCUCUUUUUGUCCGCUCAUCUAUUAGCUUUUCGAUAAAUUAUAUACAAAAAACUUCAGAUAUUCUACCUAUAGUUUAUCGAAUAUUCACUUUGGUAUCCUUUAGUUUUAACUUGUUUGUAUCAUAAUUUAUAUCUAAAUUCAAGAGAAAAAAACUUACGCGGGGAGCCUCCCACUGAAGCUUCGUCAAAGAGCCCUAAUCCGCUAUCAUAUGUCAAUUUUUUUUUCUAUCAAAUGAUUAUAAUACUUCCUUUUAGAAUUUUACUUUUUUUAUUUUAGAUUUUAGUAUCAAAAA